rnacentral:piRNA from 1 species
UGGAAAGUUCUCCCAAAUGCUUCCC